GCCAUACCACGUUGAAACACCGGUUCGCGAAAGAUCGCCGCAGUUGAGCAACGUCGAGCUUGGUCAGUACCUAGGUGGGUGAACGCUUGGGAAUAGUAGGUGCUGUAAG